CUCAUCGUGUAAAAUAUUUUUAGUUUCUAACCAAGAUACUAGUCUAUUAUUUAAAAUGCUACAAAAUAAUUUAUAACUACAUUGUGCCAAUGUAAUGCCCCGAUAUGACAAAGGAUCCCUAGUGUCUGCUGUAGAACACUUAGGUAUAGGUGUUAUUAUCCCUUUACUCCACAUGGAUGGGAUUUUACCAAAUUUAAAACACUUAUUAAAUAAAUUAUGUAAAACAUAUAAAAGUAUAUCAUUUCUAUAUAAUUCUAUAGGUAUCAAAUCAAUACCUGGCGCUUUGCCAUUUUUUGCUUUAAUC
rnacentral:lncRNA from 1 species